AGAGAUCGGAGAGAAUUAACCCUCAAACACCACUCCCCACAUUCCUGGAGGGGUUGCGAUCUGGGGUUGCAGGUGAUAACCGUUUCUAUGCCCCGGGGGAGAUAUCAUAGGAGGUUUCUUACUCAGUCCCCGAAGAUAAUUUGGAUGAAUAGAAUGGAUUUUUACAAAUCCCGAGAGCCUAAUGACAAAUGGAUUUAAAUGUUUGCUGUUGUACACUUGGAAGAUGGUGGAAGAAUUUCCAAAACAUAUCAUUUGGUUUACUUUAUCUUUCAGUAUAUAUAUGAAGAACUUUGGACUCAGGAUAGCUGACCAAAAAUGGAAUAUAUUCGAACUUGCCCCAUUUCCAACUACUUUUGGAAAUAGAAUCUGGGAUAUUCUUAACUUGAAAAAUGGAAAAUAUUAUUUGACUGUAUAACUUUAGUGAGCUGGAUUCAGGAUGAAUAUGAGAUUGAUAUCGAAUGACAUCAGCAUUAAGAGAUAGAUGAUUGGGUGCUUCCAGCCAAUUGCAAUGGUACUCCGAAACUAAACUUCCCAUCUCUGACUGAUACGCUGGAGUAGAACAACUCGUGAUGGACCUCAUCUUGGAAAUGCACCCAAACCUGACAGGUUUUGGAAUAACAUACCGGGAUUUAAAAGUAAACAUGUUGGGAAUUAAGUAACAUGUUGGAGUAAUGCAUUAUCACACAGUGGCUCAAAAUGGAUUAGUGUACUGGAGCGUUGGAAUAAUGUACUUCAUGUAACACAUUGGAAUAAUGUGCUGGCGCAUGUUGUGUUUUGGGAAGCUGUAACAGGAUGCAACACCUAAUAUUGGAGAGCUACUCAAAUACAUAAUCUGGAAUAAUGGAUUGGAACAUAGCAUUAUGCACUGGAAUGUGGCCCUGUAGCCUUAUACCUGAUGUCAUAAUUACAUGUGGAAUACAAUAUCGGAAACCGGAAUACUCUGUUGGAGUAUGCCAUGUUUUGGAGUAACAUAUGGGAAAAUAACACCUUACUUGGAAAAUCAACUGGAACAGCUCCUACUGGAGUAAUAUCCUGGAAUACAAUGCCUGGCAAUGGAUCACUGCACUGGAAUAUAAUACUUGAUGUAGGAAUAAUGUUCUGGAACAAAAUACAUUGUGUGGGAAUAAUUCAUUGGAAUACAAUGGCUUUCUGUGGAGUAAUUAUAAUACCUUCUGUUGGAAUACCUUAUUGGAAUACAAUAUCAUGUGCUGAAAUAAUGUACUGGAUUACCUCUUUUUGGAAUAAUGUACAGGAUUACAUCACCUUGCAUUUGAAUAAUGCACUGGAAUACAGUAUAUUACGUUGGAAUAUUGGGACAUAUUCUAUUGGAAUGAUGUACAGAAUUGCAAACCUUACAGAUGCAGAAUGGACUGGAACACAGUGCCUUCAGUUGGAAUGAUGCACUGGAGUGCAACCUUGGUGAUGGAUAGUUUGCUGGAAUUGAAUGAAUUAUGUCAAAGCAGCAUACUUGAAGACGACGUAGAAAAUGUGGGAAGUACUCAAGAUGAGACAGCAUCGAACAAGUUGCAGAGAUGGGUGAGAGAAUGAAAAGGAAAGUCUGUUAUCACAUGGAAACCAGGAGCCCAGAGACACACAUUGUGCUGGUUGAGAGAGACGGUAAAGGCUUGUUAAUCGCAGAUGCCUCAUCUGUAUGAGAUGCAAAUAGAACAUAAUGAGUGCAAAUUAAUGUUGGAUCUCAAGAUGCAUAACACUGCACUUGAAUUAAAAUAACUUAUUAAAAAAGUGUUGGAUUACCAGCAGGUAAGUUAACAUCUGUGGGGAAAGGUAGAAUGAAUUAUUUUGUGUUGUGUUAACCUUAUAUCAGAGCCAGGUAGUUCUAGUACAGGCUAGAAAAACUGGUUGUGCAAAAUUGGUAAAUUCAAUAGUGAAUUCUGAGACCCGUAAAUUUCCUAGACUCUUGAACCUAUAUUGAGCUUUGUUGAACCAUGUAAGAAAGCGAAGCUCAGAGUGAGGAGGGGGUGAAGAACUAAACUUACAGAGAGUUGAAGUUUAGCAUUACCCUUCUAGACUAAGCAAUGUUGUUCAGCAAAGCAGUUCUACCCCACGCAGAACAGAGCAUACUGAGAGUGCUGAAUGCAGCAUUCAGAACUGCUUUAAGUACAAGUGCAUCUGCAUUUGAACUGGAAGGAGUAUUUCAAUCCUUCACAGUGAGAACAGGAGUGUUAAAAGGCCAGGUAUUGCACCUCCUACAGUUGAAUGGAAAAGUGUUAUGAGAAGUGGAGGUCGAAAGGUGAAUCAGGAAGUUAGAGAAGGAAUGAACCAUCUGUUAUUUCCAGUUACCUUUCACUUUAACUCUCCAUCCCCUCCCUAUUCUGACUGCUCGGUCUUUUGCCAGGUGCAUUACUUCAACAGAGCCCAAGAUAAGAUCAAGUUACAGAAUCUUGUUUUCUGACCAGGAAUACUGUAGUCAUCAGGAGCAGCGGUUUCUGAUAACCAGCCUUUCCAAUAUGUGUAAGAAUGGGAAGAUUCUUUUAAGAGGCCCCCACCCUACAGCUUUGUAUUAUCUAUCUCCACAGUUACUCGUUGAACUAAUAAGUGUUUUGUUUUAGAUCCUUUGCAAUUGCAGUGUUUUGUAUUUCUUGGUUCCAUCAUUUCCUAUUUUUCAUUUAUCUGCUUACUUUUUUGCACCUCCUAUGGAUGGAAUUGUGAUUAACAGGCCUUCGAUGACAUUUGUGUCUCACACAACAGAAAGCUAUGUUCUCUCCACCCAUCUUCCUCUCCUCAUACCUGAUUUCUAACUUCUAGUUCUGAUAAAGGUUUAUUGACUUGAAAAGUUAUUUUUGUUUUUGCAGGCACAGCUGCUGCCUAACCUGUUAAACAUCUCUCGAAUUUUCUGACUUACUUUAUGCCUUUUCCUCUUAAUUUAAAUUUGUAAUAAUGUAUUUUAACAUGUCUUGCAAUAAUAGGCUUGAACAUGACACUUCACCUUUUAUUUAUAUACCAGAAAGCAAUAUUCUUGUCAGGUAUACUCUUAAAUUGAUGUCAUUCUUGGAUUAAUAAUCUAGAAUACAGCUCUGGUGUAUAUAUACUAGAACAAGAUACCACACUCUGUGGAUUGAUGGUCCCAAUUAAAUUUGAUUGUAAUAUCCUUAAGAUGCCAGGCAGUUAAACUAAUUUAAUAUCCAUACUUCCUUUGCAGGGUUUCCCACUCUGGGGUCGACAGACCCUACAGUUAAUGAUAGUCCUCCAUGGAAUAAAGAAGGUUGGGAACCCUGUUCUUUAUAUCAUCUGUUUAAUAGAUUUGCAUUUGUGAAGCAUUUAUUCUCAUUUCUCAUCAAUGUAUAAUGUACAAGCACUGAAAGUAAAGCAAUGAUUUUACUAUGAGCUAGGAAUAAUUCAGAAUUUUGUAAACUCUAAAUUUUCAUGGAUUAAAGAGAUUUUUCA